CCCGGGCUCCACGGAGUGAAAAGUACCGUCAGGAGGACGCUUUACCACGGCAGGAAGAGUCUGAGAGGUGCGGAUGAAACAUGGGCUAAAAACCUGAGUCUGGUGUCCUCCUCACCUGUCUCACCUGCCUGCUGCUGGCUGAGCUUUAACAUCACACAGAGAACCGAGCCAUCAGGGUCUUUUCUAUGAGGACUGUCAUCUGUCUUUGGAGGAAGAAGAUUUUGCAUUUUUAAAGAC